UGAUAGGUGAUAGAAGAGGGAAUUUAUUU
rnacentral:piRNA from 1 species